rnacentral:rRNA from 1 species
GCUUGUCUCAAAGAUUAAGCCAUGCAUGUCUAAGUAUAAAUAGUAUACAGUGAAACUGCGAAUGGCUCAUUAAAACAGUUAUAGUUUAUUUGAUAAUUGAAAAUUACAUGGAUAACCGUGGUAAUUCUAGAGCUAAUACAUGCCAUAACCGUAAGGUUGUAUUUAUUAGAUAUUCCUGGUAGGUGAUUCAUAAUAACUUAGCGAAUCGUGACUCGUUCACGAUAAAUCAUUCAAGUUUCUGCCCUAUCAUGCUUUCGAUGGUAGUGUAUUGGACUACCAUGGCUCUCACGGGUAACGGAGAAUUAGGGUUCGAUUCCGGAGAAGGAGCCUGAGAAACGGCUACUACAUCUAAGGAAGGCAGCAGG